rnacentral:rRNA from 1 species
CCUACGGGUGGCAGCAGUGAGGAAUAUUGGUCAAUGGCCGUAAGGCUGAACCAGCCAAGUCGCGUGAGGGAAGACUGCCCUAUGGGUUGUAAACCUCUUUUAUGCGGGGAUAAAGGUGUCCACGUGUGUAUGUUUGCAGGUAUCGCAUGAAUAAGGACCGGCUAAUUCCGUGCCAGCAGCCGCGGUAAUACGGAAGGUCCGGGCGUUAUCCGGAUUUAUUGGGUUUAAAGGGAGCGUAGGCCGUUCUUUAAGCGUGCCGUGAAAUUCUGUGGCUCAACCGUAAAAUUGCCAUUGAUACUGGUAGUCUAGAGUACAGUUGAGGUAGGCGGAAUUCGUGGUGUAGCGGUGAAAUGCUUAGAUAUCACGAAGAACUCCGAUUGCGAAGGCAGCUUACCAAACUGCCACUGACGUUGAGGCUCGAAAGUGUGGGUAGCAAACAGGAUUAGAUACCCGUGUAGUC